GGGCUCCAUGCACUGUCUGGAGUAAGUUGGAUGCGCGCUUCCCUCACUCGCCUCCCGAAGCCACCUCAAAACUGUUGCGAUGGGGAGGAUCAGGAAAAAUCACUUUGGAUUUUUGAUCUUUUCGUUGCUCGGGACUUUUAUUCACAGCCAAAGCAUCAAGGAUAUCAGAGACCCGAGUAACAUGCCUCUGGUGAAAGACACGGUGGACAGGCUGAUGAAGGGGUACGACAUUCGGUUGAGGCCGGAUUUCGGAGGUGCGCCCGUGGCGGUUGGAAUGAAUAUAGACAUCUCUAGUAUCGACAUGGUGUCUGAAGUCAACAUGG